rnacentral:rRNA from 1 species
GACGAACGCUGGCGGCGUGCUUAACACAUGCAAGUCGAGCGGUAAGGCCCUUUCGGGGGUACACGAGCGGCGAACGGGUGAGUAACACGUGGGUGACCUGCCCUCAGCUCUGGGAUAAGCCUGGGAAACUGGGUCUAAUACCGGAUAUGACUCCAUGACGCAUGUUGUGGGGUGGAAAGCCUUGUGCGGCUGAGGAUGGGCCCGCGGCCUAUCAGCUUGUUGGUGGGGUGANGGGCCUACCAAGGCGACGACGGGUAGCCGGCCUGAGAGGGCGACCGGCCACACUGGGACUGAGACACGGGCCCAGACUCCUACGGGAGGCAGCAGUGGGGAAUCUUGCGCAAUGGGCGAAAGCCUGACGCAGCGACGCCGCGUGAGGGAUGACGGCCUGGUGUAACUACUUCUAC